UUUGUAAAGGAGCUUGCUUCUUUACGAGGAGUGGCGAACGGGUGAGUAAUACAUAAGCAAUCUGCCCAUCGGCCUGGGAUAACAGUUGGAAACGGCUGCUAAUACCGGAUAGGUUAGUCUUUGGCAUCAGGGACUAAUUAAAGUUGGGAUACAACACGGAUGGAUGAGCUUAUGGCGUAUUAGCUAGUAGGUGAGGUAACGGCCCACCUAGGCGAUGAUACGUAGCCGACCUGAGAGGGUGACCGGCCACAUUGGGACUGAGACACGGCCCAAACUCC
rnacentral:rRNA from 1 species